GGCAGAGGAAUGUUUAUUAUAGGCAUACAAUUUUACUGUUCAAAUUUAAACAAAUAAUGAAAUUUUACAAUAGACACAUUUUUGGAAAACACACAAAUUUCUAUCACAAAGAUUUAAUAUAAAUUCAAACAAAAUCUGUGUCCAUGGUAAAGGUAUGUCUGAUCAUAAUACACAUUUCCAUCACAAUGAACUAGAUUAUUUAUUAAUGAAAGUCCAAGGCAGAGGAAUGUUUAUUAUAAUAGGCAUACCAUUUUACCGUUCAAAUUUUAUCAAAUAAUGUAUUUUUUAAUUUUUUAUAUGUAUCAAAUUGUAUGCAAUUUUCCAAUAGACACAUUUUUGGAAAACACAUAAAUUCCUAUCACAAAGAUUAAGAUAUUUUAGUUUUAAAAGUUAAAAUCUAAAAUAUGACUAUUUAUGGCAAACUCAUAUUUUAUAUAAAUUCAAACAAAACCUGUGUCUAAAUGUAUUUUAUUUUAAUCAAAUCUAGUG